CCUACGGGUGGCAGCAGUAGGGAAUAUUGCUCAAUGGGGGAAACCCUGAAGCAGCAACGCCGCGUGGAGGAUGAAGGUUUUCGGAUUGUAAACUCCUUUUGUUAGAGAAGAUAAUGACGGUAUCUAACGAAUAAGCACCGGCUAACUCCGUGCCAGCAGCCGCGGUAAUACGGAGGGUGCAAGCGUUACUCGGAAUCACUGGGCGUAAAGAGCGCGUAGGCGGGAUGGCAAGUCAGAUGUGAAAUCCUAUGGCUUAACCAUAGAACUGCAUUUGAAACUGUUAUUCUAGAGUAUGGGAGAGGUAGGUGGAAUUCUUGGUGUAGGGGUAAAAUGCGUAGAGAUCAAGAGGAAUACUCAUUGCGAAGGCGACCUGCUAGAGCAUAACUGACGCUGAUGCGCGAAAGUGUGGGGAGCAAACAGGAUUAGAUACCCUUGUAGUC
rnacentral:rRNA from 1 species